rnacentral:rRNA from 1 species
GUCUACGCUGUAAACGAUGUGCACUUGGUGGUGGUCCCGUUCGGGAUCGCUGCCGGAGCUAACGCAUUAAGUGCACCGCCUGGGGAGUACGCCGGCAACGGUUAAACUCAAAGGAAUUGACGGGGGCCCCGCACAAGCGGUGGAGCAUGUGGUUUAAUUCGAUGAUACGCGAGGAACCUUACCAGGGCUUGACAUAAACGUGGCGACCGUGGAGACACGGUUUUCCUUUCGGGGACGCGUUUACAGGUGUUGCAUGGCUGUCGU